GCUGGCCAUUAAAAGCAACGCAGCUUGAAGGGUGUUGACUUCUUUGGACGACUUUUCGACACCGAAGAGGCCAAAUGGUUGCGCGUUGUCGUGACUGAGCAAAGCGGCGGGGGCCAAGCAGACUGACUCCAUUAACGGCAAGGAUCCGGUCUCCCGGCUGCAGCUUCUCACAGCGGGCUGCUGGUGUGUUGGGAACCACUGCCCUGAUGAAGAUGCCUUUCACCUUCAAUGACAUCUCCUGCAAAAGGAGGUCCAACUAUGAGCCACACUAAAACUGCUUUCACUGACGGCCAUCGGAGGGAAGCCAGAAGUACAAUGUGGCCCUUGACAAAAAGGACCGUUCUACAGUAAGGGAAGGAGCGUCCACAGUCCACACUCAGCUUUUGAUUGCAGUUCUUCAUUUGAUUCACGUGUACGAUCAGGACAUUACGUAUGGCCGACGUAUCGGCCUCAGCGUUUAACGCACCACCGGCAAAAACACACAAUGGGCGGGGUGUGCGGCUGCUUGUUCAGACCCCCCGCCGCACUACGUCCUCCGCCCACAUCCGAGGGAAUUCGACCCGGGGCCCUUUAGUUACAGGUCACGUUCUUGCCUGACACCCGCUGCCCAAAGUGGAAACUCCCUUUUUAUAGUACGGGACAUUGGACAAUGACCGAUUCCCGAACAUGUGAGUCCUUUUUAGUUGUUUGAAAAGGGAAAGCGUCUUUUUUCCUGUACUUGUUUUUGCAGGUGUCACGGCACCCUCUGACCCCUGUAUGACUUCUGUUCCUCUUUUACUGUUUUACCCUUCCCACAUGAGCCCUCAAAGAACAACAGGUGCCCGUUUCUGCCAGCACUUUGUGCAAAUGUGAUGAAAAAUACAGAAAUUGAUGGCA